GGCAGGCAGGUUCUUUACCACUAGUGCCACCUGGGAAGCCCUCAAGAAAGAAGAACCAGGAGCCUUUUGUUCCUGUUUUGAGGAUUCAUGAAUGUCUCUGAAGAUGUUAAAUAGAUAUUCAUCUCCCCCACCUUUUAAAGUUUUCUGCUCCCUGCACUGUUGCUGAUAAACCUGUUUAUCCCAGUUUCUUUGUGUUUUACUUUUUGGUUUUGUCUUUCACGUUAGAGGCUUUCUUGGAUGUCUUGUGAUCCUUGACUAUCCAUUCACUUACCAACUGUUGGGUUCAUCCUAGGAUGCAUGAGAGGCAGAAUCAUGACAAAAUGUCCACAUCCUAAACCCCAGAACUUGUAGAAAUGUUGCAUCACAUGGCAGAAAGGACUUUGCAGAUGAGUUUCAGGUUAAGACCCUUGAGAUGGAGAGAGCAGCCUUCAUUACCCAGGUGGGAUCAAUCUAAUCACUCGAGCCCAUAAAAGAGAGAAUGGUUCCCAGCUGUCUUCAGAGGGAGACUUGACUACCUAAGAAAGGUCAGAGAGUUGCCACAUUGCUGGUGUUGAAAAUGGAGGAUGUGAGUCACAAGCCAGAGAAUACAGUCGGCUUCUUAGAAGCUGGGGGGAAAAAAGGUAACAGAAUCUCUGCCAGAACUUCCAGGAGGGAAUGCAGCCUGCGGACACUGCUUUUACCCCAGUGAGACCUGCUUCAGACUUCUGGCCUCUAGAAUGAGAGCUGGUGGAGAUGGAGCUGCAGUGUGUGUCCAUGGAGCAGAUUAAACACUAUCUGCCCCAACCUGCCUGAGACUGUCCUCUCCCUGGCUGGCAGUACUUGAAUGGGGAAAAAAAAAAAAAAAGCAAUCCUCCCAAGCUCCCAGCAAGCAGGAGUCCCAAGAGUCAUGACCAGGAUCUCAUCACAAAGUGGAAUUCAUCUCUCAAAAGAAGUGUAUGGCUGACCGGACUUCAUCAAUUCAGAUAUGUCUGCCCCUGGUCUGAAAUGGAAGGUAAGUAGAAGGUCAAGACCAGCGCUCAGGACGCUGGAGAACUCCCUGCUGAGGUCAGAGUGGGUCACUGUCCUGUCACAGUUCUUCCGACACGCUGAUUCUUGGUGAGAGCAACAGUGCGUUUCUGCCUGCCUUUGGCAUCGCUCACAUUCAUGUUUUUCUCACUUAAUAGGCUGUAAGCCUUUUGAUGUCAGGGUCCACAUUCCCAGCACACGCCUUGCACAGUGUAGCUAAGCACUCAGUGUAGAGUUGGCAUGAAAAGUGCUGUUUUCCACAAACUGUUCAUAGAGGAUUAACCUAUGAUAAAGCUUUAUGUCAACACAGAUUUGCUGGGUGUCAGCAAGGCAGCACCACACUGAAGUUGGAAACCCCCACUCUGAGAAGCAGAAGCCUCUCUCUAACCAUUGUCUUUGGGAGUAUGGCAUAGCUGUUGCUACUCCCUUAGAAACUGAGGGUAAAAUAUUGCGCUCGACCUGUAUUCCACUGACUUUGGCACCAGCUGGUUUUUAGACUAUUUAAAAACCUACUCAUAUUCAAAUGGAGUUCUGGAACUAGGAGCAUCCUAAUCUAUAAAUUUUAGCCAGAAGUUCUCUGCCUAUCUUACAUUCCCUAAAAGGAGUUCAGGGAGCAGAUGGACUUUAUAGCUUAAAUAUGUGGCUUUAGGAGGGGCACACACUUCCUUAUACCACUUUAAAGACAUUCCACAUCCGUGAGAACGUAAAUCUACUGCCAUCGUAGGAGCUGAAUUUUCAAAGAUCAGAUGAUUCAGCACCAUGGUCAGGGCCAAAGAGAUUAAAUUUGGGCCUGAAGUAAAUCCCCUCUAUAGGAGAGAAAUAAAGGGACUCUUUAUCUGAAGAAUUCUCCUUCUAAACAAUAAUGAGAUACCACUACAUCUACUAGAAUGGCAAAAAUGCAGAACGCUGCCAAAACCAAAUGCCAAGAAGAAUGUGGUGCAACAAGAAUUAUUCAUCACAGGUGGGAAUGCAGAAUGGUUCCUAUCAACCACUCUGGAAGGUAGUCUAGCACCUCACAAAACUAAACAUACUCUUACCAUACAAUCCAGCAAUCAUGUCCCUUGAAAGAGUUGAAAACUUAUAUCCACAUUAAAACCUGUACAUGGAUGUUUAUAGCAGAUUUAUCCAUAAUUGCCAAAACUCAGAGAUAACCAAGAUGUCCUUCAGUAGGUGAAUGGAUAAAGAAGGGGUGGUACAUCCAGACAAUGGAAUAUUAUUCAGCACCCAAAGAUGAGCUGUUGAACCUUGAAAAGGAAACUUAAGUGCAUGCUGGUAAGUGAAAGAAGCCAAUUCAAAAAGGCUGAAAACUGUAUGACUCCAACUAUAUGCCAUUCUGGAAAAGGUAAAACUCGGGAGACAAGAGAAAGACCGGUGGUUGCCAGAGGGUAGGUGGGGAUGGAGGGAUAAACAAGUGGAGAACAGGGAAUUUUUCAGGACAGUGAAAAUACUCUGCAUGAUGCUGGAGUGGUGGGUACCUGCCCCUGUAGAUCUGUCCAGACUGUAGAAUAUACAGCACCGAGAGUGAACCCUCAUGUGAGCUAAGGACUUGGAGUGAUAACAAUGCGUCACUGUAGCUUCAUCAUUUGUGACAAGUGUACACCCUGGUGGGGGAUAUUGUAAUAGCAGAGGCUAUCCACAUAUGAGGACCGAUUAUACGGGAAGCCUCUGAACCUUCCUAAAACUUUUGCUGUAAUCCUAAAACAUUUUUUUAAACUUUUUUUUUUUAAAGAAGUCUUUAAAAAAGAAUUUACCUUCUUCCCUGACUCUAAUGGCUGGUCAAGCCAGUGCUCAGGGCAGCCAAAGAAAAGACGCUCGAAGCCCCAGCUCCACACUGUGACAGGAACCACUCUGUCCUCAGGUGUUGCCUGGACUGGAACCCGUAUCCAUAACCACAGGUCUCAAUCUGGACUUACUCCUUUAAGUGUAAGAGUUUGGAGGUGGCUGCUUUUCCCCUGCUGAUUUUCAAUGUCUGCUAAUCUGAAAUAGAAAAAGCCAUCAUAUCUUUUAGUUGUGUUAAUCCAGAUGUCUGAGGGGUCCUCUAAAACAGAAGGUAGGGGCUGUCCUCAAGGACCCUGAAGGAAGACUUGGCCCCAGAAUCAUCCUUUGCCCUUCACAAUGGCUCUUCUAUAGGAAAAGCUAAACCUAUGUGAGUCCAGGCAAACUUAUAAUGCAGAGGGGGCAGGAACUAACAUCUCCUGACCAACCCCUGUGUGCCAGGUGUGAAAUGGUAACCGCCUUGUCAUCUGCACAGCAGCCUGACGCAAGUGCGAGUCUCUAACGCCAGUUCACAGGAACAUGUGCACAAGCACGGAUGAGGCGCACGGCCGCGGAGGGUGGAGGAGAAACCCAUUCUUGUUAAUAACCUGUGUGCUUUGCAUUAUGUGAUACAUGCAGUCCUAAAGAUACGAGUUAAGCUCUACAUUCAUGUUGUGUUGUCUUAGAGAACACUCAUUCAGGUUUUUUCUUCCCUUAUUUCAAAAAGUUUAGAAUCCAGAACUAGAAUUGAAAUCCUUCCAGUGGGAAUAUAAAAUGCUAAAUGAAAUACUUGGUGGUAGAUGACUAAUUGCUUUUCUGAUCUAUUUGAGAAUGUAUAAGAUUGAACAAUGUAGAAUGUAUAAAAUUGAAACCACAGUAAGUUAAUAUUACAAAGUGGCAUGGACACACACACGCAUGCCACCCUCAUUAGGUCCUAAUGGGGAUACACUGCAGACUUCCCAGGUGGCACUAGUGGUAAAGAACCCUCCUGCCAAUGCAGGAGACACAAGAGGUGCAGGUUUGAUCCCUGGGUCAGGAAGAUCCCCUGGAGGAGGGCAUGGCAACCCACUCCAGAAUUCUUGCAUGGAGAAUCCCACGGACAGAGGAGCUUGGUGAGCUACAGUCCAUAGGGUUUCAAAGAGUUGGACAUGACUGAAGUGAACUAGCACGCAUGGGGAUACACUGCAGGUUCCGUCCCCAUAACAAGUGUCCUAGGAAGCACAGCAGUGAUGACAAUCACAGGAUGUAGUAAUUAAUUACCGUUAGUUGAGUGCCUGGAUGCUUUACUUCAAGAUCUCCUUCAAAUUCUCACUUAUUCUUUUUUUGCAAGUUCUAAAACCAGAUGCUUUUUUUAAUACAAAAGUCUAAUUGCUGUGGAAUCUAAUGUAUGUCCUCCUUUCAUACCAGAUAUCCUCCUUCGCAAAUAUUUAAUUUACAACCCUCCCAUGACUCACCUUUUGGAAAUGAUCUAGAAGGAACCACACCUCUUUUGGUCCCACCUACACACAUUGCUAAGUCUUCAACUUUGGGAAAAAGCAUUCCUGAGUUAUGUUAAGUAAUAUGAGACAAUAAAACGGACUUGUCUUACAAACACAAAACUAUAAUGACAAAUCAGAUUUUUUUUUUUUUAGGCCUCAUGUGCUGCUUUCUCAUACCCCACAACCUAUACUUAUAAAAUCUCUGCCCUUUUUUGGCAUGAGUCAUGCCUGGAGAACAUCAUAAGAGAGCCUGUGCCUAGUUAAAUAUGAAAUUCUUUUUGAAUUAGUGAAAAGAGACAAAGGGAAAUGAAGCCUGUAUACCUAAUGGUAGUAUAAAAUGAACAAAACCAUGAAGGAUAAAGCGAUGAAAGGCGAUGAAAGGUAAAAACGAUGUUCUGUGUCUUUUUGGGGAUCGUAGAAAUUUCUAAGUUCCCAGCAUUUACCCAAUUUGACGAUACUAUGAAAAAAUAAUGUACACAAAAUUCACAUUCAAAUAACUCCUGUGGCAGGCAUCUCCUUUCUUUUCCCAUUCUAACAGAACGCCAGUCGUGUUCAGAGGAUGAGACAAAAUGUACCCCCCACUAAAAAUACUUGCCCACUACACGAGAUGGUCCUGUGACAGUAAAGGUCUACACAACAGAAAUUAACACAACACUGCAAAUCAACUAUACUUCAAAAAAAUGCUGAAGUCAAUGGAAUUUCACCAUUUAGAUUGGCAAAAAUCACCAUCUGACAUCACCAGUGUCAGCAAGGUUGUGGGGAAGUGGGAUCUCGCACACCCCACCAGGAGGUGGGUAAACUGAUGCAGCUACUGACGAGAGCAGUUUUCCAGAUCUAGUGAAACUUAGGAUGAACACACCAAGUAGCCCAGGAAGUCUUGCAGCGUGCACGAGAGAGCUGGAGAGGGAGGAGUGCUAUUUUACAGCAGUGAAGCCCUGGAAAUAAUCUAGGUGUCUGUUAACAAGCAAACUGACAGAAACAUCAGGACACACUCUUACAAUACCCAAGUGAACAAACGCAAAGCUCACAUCUACACAAGGAUAUGAAAUGAUUUAGUGGAAUGCUGCAGCCACGUCUCAAGAGCUAUUUGUUAAAAUUUCAGGAAUUUUAUGAGCUGGUUGAUAUUAUAUCAGUAGUUUGAGGUCAGUCACGUUAGGAGUAUUUACAACACUGAAAUUAGAACAAGCAAUAAAUCACACCCCUUUUCACCAUCACAAGAGCUGGUGGUUAAGCAUUUACCAGCACGUCACUAGACAGACUUCAAACACAGCAUUUAUUUUAAAAGGCAAGUUGCAGAAUGACACCAGUGUGGUGGCAUAUAUUUAGAGCUUAAAAACAUAUAGAAAAGUUAUAUAUUUAUAAUAUUUAUCAAUGGUAAUAAAAUGCAGUCUAGAAGGAGAAAUGCCGGAUUUGUGAUAACAAUUGUCUCUGGAGAGGGGGGCAAUGUAAUAGGCAUGAUGGAAGGGAAAGAGAGGACUUGAACUUUUUAUCUGUUAUGUUCUAUUUAUUUUAAAAUAUCUUAAACUAAAAAGUGAACAAAAAGUUAAUUUUUUUCAAUUAUGGGCACUAAGGAUAAAAAUGUUGACUAUUCUAUGUUUAUCUCUAUUAUUUAGAUUUUAAGAUAAAAAGCAAAGAAUGAGUCCAAGGAAAACUUGCAUAUCACAUUUCAUUGAUGCCAUGACAUUGACAAUAAGAUUCACUAUUAUUUUAUAUACCACUGAGUUUUGACAUCUGUCAUUUAAACCAUGUUGAUGAGGGCAUAUAGAAUCUUAAAAUCACGCAUUUUAGAAACAAAAGUAAAUGUGUCUUAGAGUUGAUAAAACGUGAUAUAUUGGAUUAUGUAGAAUUUUGCAGCUUCUACACAAAUAGCAUUGUAUCAGGAAAUGAGUUUGGUGCAUACCACCACAUAAUAACAGUGCUUAAACAGCUUAGAAGUUUAUCUUCAUUUCACAUGGACUCAGUCAUGAUGUGGACAGCCCAGGACUCAUGAACUAUCUAUCCUGUCUACAUGAUUUGCUCAGACCCCCAGAUAUCCUAUAUGUCAUCCUAUAUUCAAUAUUUGGCUUCCAUUUUCAAAGUUACUUUAUGGCCCAAGAUGGCUGCUGGAGUGCCAGCCAUCAAUCACAUUCUAGAUGUAUGCCUGGGAGAGGAAAAGGGCAAAAUGCCUUCCUCCCAGCUUAGCUCUCUUUGAGGUAUGCUUAAGGAAAUCUUCAUAUAUCCAUAAAAUGGGAAAAGCUCUAUGAAGGCAAGAGUCCUAUCUGUUUUACCAGUGCAUCCCCAGCACCUAGCACCAAGCAGAGCAUGCUGAGGCACUGAAGGAAAAAAAAAAAAAAAUGUGAAAUGAAUGGAUACUUGCAAAGAAAUGGAUAAAAUGCACCAUAACCAUUUAAAUAUUUUCAUAAGUAAGAAACAGGGACAUGUCUGUUACAAUAGAAUUUGUGAAAACAUUAUAGUGUAAUCCUAAUUUUAUUGAAAAUGUAUGCCUAGGGAAAGAAAGGAAUAUGCUAAUCUAUUAACUGGUUUUCUAAAUAUAUGGUGAAAUGUCUCUGAUUUUUAAUAAUUUUUUUAUACUUUUAUAAAUUUUCCAAAUUUAUGCAAUAAGCCAGAAUAUUUUUCUGAUUAGAAAAACCCGGUAAGCUUCAAAAUCCCCCAAUCAAUCAAUCAAUCAAGAAGAAGAAUGUUUUCGUCUAAGUAUUAAAAUCAGGUAGUGAGUUUAUAAACCAAAAGAAGUAAUCAACAGCCACAUAUGCUGUGGAGAGUCUAACAAUGCCACUUCUCUUAUCCAGCAGCUUUGUUUUAUUAAUACAGUUGGGGAAAAGAGAUGUUGACAUUUGCAGAUGACACCCAUGUGGAACCAUGCCUAGCCUGCAUUUGGGGCAGCAAAUUGAUUCCCUAUCCCAUAUCUCAGUUUUUCAACCUAAUGGUUAGCAUGUGUAUGUGCUAAG